rnacentral:lncRNA from 1 species
GGUUUUGUGACAACCUAGUGAUGUUAAGAGAAAAUUAAAUACUCGAUAAAAUAGCUUAUUUGAAAAGAUUACAAGCGAAGGCGUCUAGAUUUGGGCUUCUCCUGCAACAUUAAACAUGAGGAUUCACUGUCCAAAUAUGGGUUCCGCAUAUAAGAGAGCUGCUGUUUUCUCCUGCGCUGACAGGCAAUGCUAUGUGAUAUGUUGGCAAACAAUUUUACUGUUUUCCUCUCUCUUCUUAUGAACGAUAUUUAUAGACUCCGAAUUGCAUUUGGUUCCGCUUUCCGACACAGUUAUCUUCUUGGGCGUGGAUUAAAUGAAGAUCUGGGUGUUGAAAGACAUUUACAUAAGUGCUGUUUGUGAACAGGAAGGCCAGUUCUUCUAUUAUCGCCAGAACAUUUAAAUCUUAAUGACUGGCAUUGUUGUCUAAAAGACGGUGUUUUUCCUGCUGAGAAACUGCAUUAGAUUCAAGAAACGAAGCUCAUUUCCAUUCUCUCAGCAGUCUUCUCUAGAAAUGACAUGCAGUGCUUGAAACUGUUUAUUUCCAAAUUCAGGCCUCCCUCGCAUCAGUCAUCAGCUUCAAUUACCAGUUUUCCGGAGCCGAGCCAUCAGGCAGUCUGACACCGGGGUCCGGCCUAAUUCCCACCUUCUCCAGAGUCAAGAGCAUAAUGUGCGGAUGAAAAGGUGCAAAAUAGCUUGGACUUCAUUAGCAUGCAGGGCCUGGCUGUUCAUUUGCCGGCUGCGGAUGGAAGUUCUGACACUCGGAGCUUGCUGCAAAAUGAGAAAAGUCCUCUUCAGGGGAGAUGAGGUCCUUGGUGGUGAGGAAAGGUCAUCAAAAAGACAGCCGCUGCCCUUGCUCCCUGCUCUCCAUGACUGCUUAUUGAUUCCAGGAACACCUCAUUACACGCCGGAUCAACAUAUUAUUGCCAUGUUCUGGGACUGAAUUGUUUACAAGUGUCUUUAUCGCCAGCAAAGGCCUGCCCGGAGAUGCAUGACUACACUCAUUUGGCUGUGACCCGCCAAUUAUGUGUUAUCCGAUAUGUUGCUGGGUAUCUUGAUCUUUGCCCGGGUCUUCUCCUGGCAUCAACACAGUCCCAUUUACUACUUCUUUCUAACCACUCUUUGGGAAAGUAGCCAUUAGCCUGUCAGUGUGUAAAUGUGCGUGUGUGUGUGUGCGUGUGUGUGUGUGUGUGUGUGUGUUACCUCUGCUACAGGAAAUCUGAGCAUCGAUGCUCCAUUGCUUGCUAUUCAUGAGGUGCAUAAUCAUUUGGGGGAAAGAAAUUCUCACUCACACUCACACACACACACCUUUUUUUAUGGCAUCCAGGGUAACCCACACAAUUUGCAAUCAGUAUGCACAACAGAGAGCAUAAUGCAGCUUGUUAGCAGCUCCCUCUGCUUACAUAUAGGCCCGACGAGAGAGCCGUCAUAUUUUAUUUGGGCAUAGCUACUGCAAACCACUGCACAGGACCAUUUUAAUCUUUCAUUACAGACACUUCUAUGGCUCCAUAAAAGAAAGAGUGGACUAGCAACUUGAUUAAAAACUUAGUAAAGAGAUUGUGCAAACCCUCCCAUCCCUGAAAAGUGGAGCCACAGCCUUAGUUUCUUACUGACGCCACUCUGCAAUGCAAAUGUGACUUCCAUUUCCCUCCAAUGGUGACUACUGACAUAAAUUUAAUGAUGCUGAGAAUUGACAACUUCUAUUAAUUUUUGUGAAUAUUGCUUGGAGAAGGUUUAACGACUCCACCAAACAUUAGGACCGUCUCAACCAAAUACUAAAAAGGGGUCCAUUUCAUUUACAUUUCCUGUUGCCAUCAAGAAUGGCUCUUUAAUGAGUUUUCCGCAGCAGGAUGUAGAGACACAGAUGCCAAGAAACUUGCCUUUAUUUUCUUGGAAGCAUAUAUCCUUGGCAAUGGGCACAUAUUAAUAUGAUGAGUGAACUGAAACUCAAGAAUCUAACUGCCUUCAGAAAAGUGACAUCUGUAUGCACAUUCAUUUCCAGCAAUUUCCCAGAUUUCUUUGGUAUUUGUCUUUCUUUAAUUUUUUCCAGGUAUUUUUUUUCUCUUUCCAAUUUUGAGAGAGGAGUUUUGUAAAGAUACUGAGUUCUUUUGGUUCUUUCCAAAAUCCCUUAGUUUUGGCUUUCUGACAAAUCACUAUUAAUAACUGGAAAAGGCUGAUUAAGACCCCCUCGUCAGGGUGCUUCAACUCAAUUAAAGAGUCCAUCAGGAGAUGUUUACUCCACCCAGUGUUCAAGGACUCUGCUAAUUCUGUACUAUUCUGUACUAUUAUCAACCAAUAAAUAC